ACAACGCUGGCGGCAGGCUUAUACUGCAGUCCAGCGCAUCCUUCGGGAUGAGCGGCGGACGGGUGAGUAACGCGUGGGAAUGUGCCCUUCUCUACGGAAUAGCCACUGGAAACGGUGAGUAAUACCGUAUACGCCCUCAGGGGGAAAGAUUUAUCGGAGAAGGAUCAGCCCGCGUUAGAUUAGGUAGUUGGUGGGGUAACGGCCUACCAAGCCUACGAUCUAUAGCUGGUUUUAGAGGAUGAUCAGCCACACUGGGACUGAGACACGGCCCAGACUCCUACGGGAGGCAGCAGUAGGGAAUCUUGGACAAUGGGGGCAACCCUGAUCCAGCCAUGCCGCGUGAGUGAAGAAGGCCCUAGGGUCGUAAAGCUCUUUCGCCUGUGAUGAUAAUGACAGUAGCAGGUAAAGAAACCCCGGCUAACUCCGUGCCAGCAGCCGCGGUAAUACGGAGGGGGUUAGCGUUGUUCGGAAUUACUGGGCGUAAAGCGCGCGUAGGCGGAUUGGAAAGCUGGGGGUGAAAUCCCGGGGCUCAACCCCGGAACUGCUUCAAAACUCCCAGUCUAGAGUUCGAGAGAGGUGAGUGGAAUUCCGAGUGUAGAGGUGAAAUUCGUAGAUCUUCGGAAGAACACCAGUGGCGAAGGCGGCUCACUGGCUCGAUAACUGACGCU
rnacentral:rRNA from 1 species